rnacentral:rRNA from 1 species
GAUGAACGCUGGCGGCGUGCCUAAUACAUGCAAGUCGAGCGAAGCGGGGACGGGUGAGUAACACGUGGAUAACCUCCUAUAAGACUGGGAUAACUUCGGGAAACCGGAGCUAAACCGGAUACUUAUCGAUGGAUCCGCGCUGCAUUAGCUAGUUGGUAAGGUAACGGUUUACAAAGGCAACGAUGCAUAGCCGACCUGGGGGGGUGUUCGGCCACACUGGAAUGGAGACACGGUCCAGACUCCUACGGGAUGCAGCAGUAGGGAAUCUUCCGCAAUGGGCGAAAGCCUGACCGCGUCUCGCCGCGUGAGUGAUGAAGUUCUUCGGAUCGUAAAAUUCCUUUACUCGGUAAGCGGUACCUAAUCAGAAAGCCACGGCUAACUACGUGCCAGCAGCCGCGGUAAUU